rnacentral:rRNA from 1 species
AAACUUUCAACAACGGAUCUCUUGGUUCCGGCAUCGAUGAAGAACGCAGCGAAAUGCGAUAACUAAUGUGAAUUGCAGAAUUCAGUGAAUCAUCGAGUCUUUGAACGCACAUUGCGCCCCCUGGUAUUCCGGGGGGCAUGUCUGUCCGAGCGUCAUUG